rnacentral:rRNA from 1 species
UUGCUUGCAAUCCGCUGACGACCGGCGCACGGGUGCGUAACGCGUAUGCAACCUACCUUCUACAGGGGGAUAGUCAAUAGAAAUGUUGAAUAAUACCCCAUACGAUCUUUGAAUAGCAUUAUUUAAAGAAGAAAGCUCCGGCGGUAGAAGAUGGGCAUGCGUCCUAUUAGUUAGUUGGUAAGGUAACGGCUUACCAAGACUUCGAUAGGUAGGGGUCCUGAGAGGGAGACCCCCCACACUGGUACUGAGACACGGACCAGACUCCUACGGGAGGCAGCAGUGAGGAAUAUUGGACAAUGGAGGCAACUCUGAUCCAGCCAUGCCGCGUGCAGGAAGACUGCCCUAUGGGUUGUAAACUGCUUUUAUACAGGAAGAAAUAUGCCUACGUGUAGGCAUUUGACGGUACUGUACGAAUAAGGAUCGGCUAACUCCGUGCCAGCAGCCGCGGUAAUACGGAGGAUCCAAGCGUUAUCCGGAAUCAUUGGGUUUAAAGGGUCCGUA